ensembl:misc_RNA Y_RNA Y RNA
AGUAGGUCCCAGUGCAGUGGUGUUUACAAGUAAUUGAUUACAACUAGUUAUAGAUUCCUUUGUUCUGUCUCCACUUCCACUGCCUCACUUGACCAGCCUUUA